UACGGGGGGGGCAAGCGUUGUUCGGAAUUACUGGGCGUAAAGGGCUCGUAGGCGGCCAACUAAGUCAGACGUGAAAUCCCUCGGCUUAACCGGGGAACUGCGUCUGAUACUGGAUGGCUUGAGUCCGGGAGAGGGAUGCGGAGUUCCAGGUGUAGCGGUGAAAUGCGUAGAUAUCUGGAGGAACACCGGUGGCGAAGGCGGCAUCCUGGACCGGCACUGACGCUGAGACGCGAAAGCUAGGGGAGCGAACAGG
rnacentral:rRNA from 1 species